rnacentral:rRNA from 1 species
UAUCUCUGUAGAGUCUGCAUAUCAAUAAGCGGAGGAAAAGAAACUAACUAGGAUUCCCUUAGUAACGGCGAGUGAAGCGGGAAGAGCUCAAAUUUGAAAUCUUCAAGGUUCUACCUUGACGAAUUGUAGUUUAAAGAAGUGUUUUCUGUUGGAUGUUUUGGUAAAAGUUCUUUGGAAUAGGACAUCAUAGAGGGUGAGAAUCCCGUAUUUGACCAUUAUUUCCAGCUUUGUGAUACACUUUCAAAGAGUCGGAUUGUUUGGGGAAUGCAGUCCAAAAUGGGUGGUAAAUUUCAUCUAAAGCUAAAUACUGGCGAGAGACCGAUAGCGAACAAGUACCGUGAGGGAAAGAUGAAAAGAACUUUGAAAAGAGAGUUAAACAGUACGUGAAAUUGUCAAAAGGGAAGCGUUUGACACCAGUGUUGUUUUCUCGAAAAUCAAUUAAAAAAGGCAGGAUUUUGUGUUGUAUUGACUUUAUCAGCUUUCUGCACUCUUUUCUUGUCUUUUUUUAAUGCACUUUUCGUUUAACAAGUCAACAUCAAUUUCUUUUGUUGUAAAAGGGUCAUUGGAAGGUGGCUUUCUUUUCGGAGAAAGUGUUUAUAGCCUUUGGCCUCUGCAAUCGGAGAGGAUUGAGGUCUGCAGCGUAGAUCCUUCGGGGUUAGAUACAUUUGUGCUAAGUUAUAGCCUUUCAUAGACAACUUGUUGACUAUGAUCAGUCAUGUAGCUUACUCGCUUAUGCUAUUUUACCUACGCUUAGGAUGUUGACGAUCAGCUGAGCGCG